CCUACGGGAGGCAGCAGUGGGGGAUAUUGCUCAAUGGGGGAAACCCUGAAGCAGCGAAGCCGCGUGGGGGAAGAAGGGCCUCGGCGUGUUAAGCCCCGUUAGCCGGGAAACAAAUGACGGGACCUGACGAAGCAGCACCGGAUAAGUACGUGCCAGCUGCCGCGGUACCAUGCAGGGGGCAAGGGUUAUCCGGAUUUAUGGGGGUUAAAGGGGGCGUAGGCGGGUUGUUAGGUCAGCGGUAAAAGCCCGGGGUUAAACCCCGGCGAGCCGUUGAAACUGGCGGUCUUGAGAUGUCGAGAGGUAUGCGGAAUGCGCAGUGUAGCGGUGAAAUGCUUAGAUAUUGCGCAGAACUCCGAUUGCGAAGGCAGCGUACCGGCGGCGAACUGACGCUGAGGCACGAAAGCGUGGGUAUCGAACAGGAUUAGAUACCCUUGUAGUC
rnacentral:rRNA from 1 species